rnacentral:rRNA from 1 species
AUUGAACGCUGGCGGCAGGCCUAACACAUGCAAGUCGAACGAGUGGCGGACGGGUGAGUAAUGUCUGGGAAACUGCCUGAUGGAGGGGGAUAACUACUGGAAACGGUAGCUAAUACCGCAUACCAUCAGAUGUGCCCAGAGGGGAUUAGCUCGUUGGUGUGGCAACGGCUCACCAAGGCGACGAUGCCUAGCUGGUCUGAGAGGAUGACCAGCCACACGGGAACUGAGACACGGUCCAGACUCCUACGGGAGGCAGCAGUAGGGAAUAUUGCACAAUGGGCGCAAGCCUGAUGCAGCCAUGCCGCGUGUAUGAAGAAGGCCUUCGGGUUGUAAAGUACUUUCAGCGGGGAGGCGUUACCCGAAGAAGAAGCACCGGCUAACUCCGUGCCAGCAGCCGCGGUAAUUC